AUUAGCACAAAGCCAUCGGUAGCAGUAUUAUGAUUGGCACAUCCCUCUACAACUCAAACUCCUCAUUUCUCUCCACAAUCCACUUCUAAAAAUCCUCUCUGAUAUCCUACACAUAUCACUCCAACCUCUUAUCUAUCAGAAUUUUACUGCAACACAACCACUACCAAGCUGCAAAAUUAAUACCCCAUUGCGCAACCUAAGACUAGAACCUCAGACCACAUAAUUACACAACACGCC
rnacentral:lncRNA from 1 species